rnacentral:misc_RNA from 1 species
GGUUCCAUAGUGAAAUCAUUCAGAAAUGGUGUGUACUACACGCCCUUAACGGAUCUAGGUCGACUUUUCCUGUAACCCUGUAUAUAUAUAUAUAUAUAUAUGUAAAGAAAAAAUAUUAUUUUCUUUACUUUAAAUAUUCCCUAUAUUUAUAAUUUAUAUAGACAACAUAGGAAACCUUUUUUAUUCGGUUUGUUAUAUCUGGUUGAUAGAUAAGAUUGUCUAGCUGUCACGACGAAACAAUUAUUGAUUAAUAUUUAAAAGAUAGUUAUUUAAGAAAUUAUUUGUGAUUUUGGAUUCGACACUGGAAUUAAUAACAUUAAAUGUCGUUUCUUUUAUUACAGAGAAACUCAAUUGUGUUUUAAUUGAUUGUGUCGUCUAAAUCACAAGAAAAUUUUAUCUUACAAAACGACAUUUCUUGUCAAAAAAAAAAAUAAAAAAAUGGAAAAGCUGAAAUUUUCAUUUCAAGUAAAACCAACGCCAGACGGAAAGUCAAACUAU